UUGACCAACUUGACCUCAAAUCAGGUA
rnacentral:rRNA from 1 species